rnacentral:rRNA from 1 species
CCGCCUGGGGAGUACGACCGCAAGGUUAAAACUCAAAUGAAUUGACGGGGACCCGCACAAGUAGUGGAGCAUGUGGUUUAAUUCGAAGAUACGCGCAGAACCUUACCAACACUUGACAUGUUCGUCGCGACUUUAAGAGAUUAAAGUUUUCGGUUCGGCCGGACGAAACACAGGUGCUGCAUGGCUGUCGUCAGCUCGUGUCGUGAGAUGUUGGGUUAAGUCCCGCAACGAGCGCAACCCUCACUUUUAGUUGCCAUCAUUAAGUUGGGCACUCUGAAAGAACUGCCAGUGAUAAGCUGGAGGAAGGUGGGGAUGACGUCAAGUCCUCAUGGCCCUUACGUGUUGGGCUACACACGUGCUACAAUGGCAUCUACAACAGGAAGCAAGACGGCGACGUUAAGCAAAUCCUUAAAAGAUGCCUCAGUUCGGAUUGCACUCUGCAACUCGAGUGCAUGAAGCUGGAAUUACUAGUAAUCGUGGAUCAGCGUGCCACGGUGAAUGCGUUCCCGGGUCUU